rnacentral:misc_RNA from 1 species
UGGUUCUGGCAUCGAUGAAGAACGCAGCGAAAUGCGAUAAGUAAUGUGAAUUGCAGAAUUCAGUGAAUCAUCGAAUCUUUGAACGCACAUUGCGCCCCUUGGCAUUCCGAGGGGCAUGCCUGUUCGAGCGUCAUUACAACCCUCAAGCUCUGCUUGGUAUUGGGCGCCGUCCUCUGCGGACGCGCCUCGAAGACCUCGGCGGCGGCUGUUCGGCCCUCAAGCGUAGUAGCAUACACCUCGCUUUGGAGCGGUCGGCGUCGCCCGCCGGACGAACCUUCUGAACUUUUCUCAAGGUUGACCUCGGAUCAGGUAGGGAUACCCGCUGA